rnacentral:rRNA from 1 species
GACGAACGCUGGCGGCGUGCCUAAUACAUGCAAGUCGAACGCUUCUUUCCUCCCGAUUGCUUGCACUCGAUUGGAAAGCGGAGUGGCGGCCGGGUGAGUAACACGUCGGUAACCUACCCAUCCGUGGGGGAUAACACUUGGAAACAGGUUCUAAUACCGCAUAACAGUUUAUGCCGCAUGGCAUUAGAGUGAAAGGCGCUUUCGGCUGUCGCUGAUGGAUGGACCCGCGGUGCAUUAGCUAGUUGGUGAGGUAACGGCUCACCAAGGCGACGAUGCAUAGGCGAAGUGAGAGGGUGAUAGGCCACACUGGGACUGAGACACGGACAAGACUCCUGCGGGAGGCAGCAGUAGGGAAUCUUCGGCAGUGGACGAAAGUAUGACCGAGCAACGCCGCGUGAGUGAAGAAGGUGUUCGGAUCGUAAAACUCUGUUGUUAGAGAAGAACAAGGACGGUAGUAACUGAACGUCGCGUGACGGUAUCUAACAAGAAAGCAACGGCUAACUACGUG